GGAAAACUCUGCAUUGCAGACCCUGCUUCAACACAGACAAUUCCUCUUCCGCCUCUAAGAUCUGGUGCGCGCCCUCCGUCCUCAGAUACCUCGGUGUGUCCCACCCACAGAUAAGAAUCCGGCUCAGAGACAGUUGUGAAGGGGCUGCAGCACCCCCGGGAAAGUGUUCCGGGAGUGUGACUCGGGAAGACGAGCACACGAGGCAUCUUCCGCUUCAUUGGAAGAGUCAGUGGCAACUAGGAAUAACAAUAAUCCUCCUCAAAGAAAAAGGACCCUGGAGCCUUGGGUUUCAGAUCUAAAGUGCCCACAACCCCACGUCCAUCUCUGGGAACCACAGCAAAGGGGAAACAAGCCAGCUACUCCUGUUUCACAGCACGUUCCGCGCACAUUAGGUGUUGGACCAAUUUUACAGAAAUGUCAUGUACUUCCAGCACUCAUGUACGGAUGUGAGCUGGACCAUAAAGAAGCCUACAAGCCAAAGAAUUGAUGCUUUUGAACUGUGGUGUUGGAGAAGACUCUCGAGAGCCCCUUGGACUGCAAGGAGAUCCAACCAGCCCAUCCUAAAGGAGAUCAGUCCUGGGUGUUCAUUGGAAGGACAGAUGCUGUAACUGAAACUCCAAUACUUUGGCCAACCCGAGGCGAAGAACUGACUCAUUGGAAAAGACCCUGAUGCUGAGAAAGAUUGAGGGCAGGAGGAGAAGGGGAUGACAGAGGCUGAGAUGGUUGGAUGACAUCACUGACUUGAUGGAUGUUAGUCUGAGCAAGCUCCGGGAGAUGGCAAAGAACAGGGAGGCCUGGUGUGCUGAAGCCCAUGGGGUCACAGAGAGUCGGAUACAACUGAGCCAGUGAACAACAAAAGAAGCGUCCUUCCAUAACAGACAGGAAAUAGAACACGGUCCCUCACUGCCGGCCAGGUGAUCUCGGUCACACAGGCUGGACACUUGGGUUCUUCCUUAAAAUUGCCCAAUGCCCAUGCUGAGCCAAGACCUACCUUAUGAGAUGGAUUAACUUUCGGGCUUUCUUAAAAAGGUUUUUUGAGCCGUCUCUAGGCGUUAGCUUUUCUGUCCUUUGUUGGUAAACUUCGAGAGUCAUGGGAACCAGCCCAGGUCUUUUCAGAGUGGGUCCUGUGCGGCCUGCACAAGCCCCACCCUGAUGCUCCCAGCUGGAAACCGUCCCGGAGACUCUGGUCAGCGGAGGAAACGGUCUGCCGUUGAUCCAGGCCCUGGAGAGACGCAGCUUGUGCCAGGAGCUGUCAAAAGACAGGCCCUCCCCCCAGCCCUGCUGGAGUCUGGGUUUAAGUAGCUCUCUGCUUCCAAACAGGUUCCUCCCCAAGUUUGGG
ensembl:lncRNA